CAUUACAGAAGUGCUUAGUCAUUCUGCAUAAUACACAGGCUUUAGUUUCAGUAACAUUUUUACAUGCAUAUUCCAGAUCUCACCCUACUUUUACUUACCAUUCAGUGGUUUAGCUGGCAAACUACAGAUUUCAGUAAACUACAGAUUUAAAUCAAUGUAACCUGGGCUUGCACCUUAACCCUUUAGAUAGAUCUCUUUUUAGUGUGGCACAUCACCAUAGUAACAGACUGCCCACCUAGCCUGAUCCAGGGCCAGUUAUGUUCAGGGCAGGCCUAUACUCACCCUCUCUGUGUGUGAUAAACAAACUUCUCUUUUUCUUCGGUAUUAGUAACUAGUAUUCUGCUCUGUUCAACACAAAUGGAAUUAAAUUGAAUUUAGCAUAAUAUAAUACUGCAGGCUCAUUAUCCAGUCAUUACAUCCUGUGCUGUUGAGACUGUUAUAAGCACCAGCACUCGUGACUAAUUCCCUGACUGAUCCUGUUUUUGUGAAGAGAAAACUUGAACUUGACCUAUGGUUGGACACACCUGACACAAUAAAUGUCCUGGAGGAGAUGAAGGGCUGAUGAAGGGCUAGUGCCCGCAAUAAGCGUCGCAAUAAAUUGGUUAAUUGA